UGCAUAAAAUAAGUCCUAUCAGUUCACCCCUCCUCCCAUGUGCCUCACAGUAAAAUCAGAAGUCUUCAGGGGCCUCCCCCAGGUCCUUUCUGAUCUGGCCUUGUCUUAUCUCACUAAUGUCAUCUCUUGUCCUCCCUAGUUUACUUGGCUCCAGCUACCCUGGUCCCUUGCGGCUCCUGGAAUACUGUAGGUGUGCUUCCACCUAAGGACCAGGUCCUGCUGACCCCUCUGCUUAGAAUGCCCAUCCUUUCCCUGCCCUGUUGGCUAACUCACUCCACCCCUUUAAAUCUUUGCUUAAAUGUCACCAUUUUAAUGAGUCAUUCUCUGACUGCCCUAUGUCCCCCUGCUGCCACUCUAAUCCCCUCUACCCUGACCUACUUUCUUUUUCCAUACUGUUUUCACUUAAAAUGCCAUAUGAUUUUUUGUUAUUUUGUUUACUGUUUAUUAUUUUUCUCCCCACACUAGAAUGUCAGCUCUACAAAGUGAAAGGAUUUUGUUGUUAUUGCCCCAUUUUGUUCACUGAUGUGUCCCAAGUACCUAACACAGAGUUGGCAUAGUAGGUGCUCAACAACGCUUUGUUGAAUGUUGAAUGGCUGAAAUUUGGGGGGCUUAUAUGCACUGUGGUUAUGCUAAGUGGUUUACAUGUACAGAUAUAUCACCUGACAAUCCUCGAGAAAGAUAAUAUUAUUAACCACAUUUGCAAGUUAAGAAACUGAAGCAGAGAGAGGUGGAUUAACCUGCUGAGGGUCACACAGCUAGUCAAUAAUGAAGCCAGGGUUCAAACUCAAGCAGUAAGAUCUUAGAACACUAGUUCUUGACCACAUGAACUAAAUUUAAACAAGCAAUGCCAAGAAGAGUUUAUAUACUCAACAAGCACAUGCUGCUUAUGAUAGAUAUCAGUUUGUUGUUUCUACAUUCAUUCUUUUCCUGGUAAUUGCACCCGUGUUUCCCUCUAGGGAAUCAUUCCUUCCUCCACUUUCCAUGUGUGGGCUUCUUGUACACUGGACUCCAUUCCUGAGCCAAGUAAAGCAUGUGAUGAGAGAAAGCCAAUCAGCAGCUGGCAUUCCACUGGCCUUGGUGAUUGGCUCAGAAAUGGGCAUGUGACCCAGUCAGAGCUGAGAAUGCUGGGACAAAAUGGCUUCAGUUCUCCUAUUGGACAUGGAGGAGGAUAAACUGUUAAGCAUAAUCCUGGGAGCCUGCAGGGGUGACUCUGCCUGAGAAUAGAGCCGACACAAAAUUCUCAGUCCUAACAGCAGAAAUCCUGAAGACAGAGAGCAAGAAGAAAGAAGAACGUCUCUCCUCUUUGCCUUCCAUCAGACUCAACAUGGCCACCAGCCUACAACUCAACACAACCUGUCUGUUCAACCCUACCUCAGCCUCCCAGCCCGUGUUCCCAGGAGAGGACUCUGACCGACCCUUCACCUCGAUUUAGGCAGUGCUCUUGGCACCAGACUGUGCCAAAUGACUCUCUAGAGAUUGGUUGUCUUUGUGUCAGGCCUUCUGGUCCAAUCAGCUGUGGCUGCAGAGGGAGGGAGGAAGGGUCACAUGGUCCAUGUCCACUUAAUUGGGACUCUGUGCCUAAAUCCCCAAAGACUAGAACAUUCUAGGGAAUGCCACUGAAGUGAAAGCUGUGGAGAAACCUAGGGGUGAGUUGGCCGGCAGGGAGGAGCCAUUCCCCCCAGCUGGCAACAUGGUGCCCUAGAAAAGCCAUCACUCUCCUACCCCCAAUCUAAGGGUAGUGACCUGCCUGCCACUUGCCUGAUUGGCAUUCUUGCAAGAUCCACUCAUUCUGAUCCCACUCUUUUAAUUUCAUCUGGAACAGCAGAGAAAUAAAUAAUUCCAUUAGGCGUUUUUCUGUUACACCUACACAGGCGGCUGAGUGGCAGAAAUCUCUCCAUCGGGCCGUCAGUUUUAUCUCAAGCACUUGGGGCAGAAAAUGGUGGCAAAUAACACGCUGGGAUUGAGAGUAAGAGUGAAGUGCAGCCCUCCAGUCAGAAUGGUAAUUCCUAGAAUUGUGCGUUUGUCUUGACGGCUAUGCUUGCUUCAUUUCAUUAAAAGUUGAAGAAUUUCUCUGAUCAAAAAUAUAGCAAUAUGCUAAGAAAAAAAAUCCUCCCCUCAAAUAACAGCAUGUUAAAAUUUAUUUCCCAGGAGAGAAAACAAAUUUCCAUGAAAUAAAGGAAAGAACUAAUAGACACUCCUUUUCUGAAUAACCAUGGUUUUUGUUUUUUUUUUUUUUCUUGCAAAGAAUGUGCUUUCAGGCAAAUACAUUUGUGUGUCUCUUGAGGUAU